GGCUCCAUAGUGUAGCGGUUAGCACAUCUGCUUUACACGCAGAAGGUCCUGGGUUCGCGCCCCAGUGGAGCCA
rnacentral:tRNA from 1 species